UACGUAGGGUGCAAGCGUUGUCCGGAAUUAUUGGGCGUAAAGAGCUCGUAGGCGGCUUGUCGCGUCGUCCGUGAAAACCUGCGGCUCAACUGCAGGCUGGCGGUCGAUACGGGCAGGCUGGAGUUCGGUAGGGGAGACUGGAAUUCCUGGUGUAGCGGUGAAAUGCGCAGAUAUCAGGAGGAACACCGGUGGCGAAGGCGGGUCUCUGGGCAGUAACUGACGCUGAGGAGCGAAAGCGUGGGGAGCGAACAGG
rnacentral:rRNA from 1 species